UAUGUGAUCGUCUCUCGCAUAUCAAUAAGCGGAGGAAAAGAAACUAACAAGGAUUCCCCUAGUAACAGGCGAGUGAAGCGGGAAGAGCUCAAAUUUGAAAUCUUAAAGGGUUUCCCUUUACGAAUUGUAGUUUAAAGAAGUGUUUUCUGUUGAGGUUUUGGUAAAAGUUCUUUGGAAUAGGACAUCAUAGAGGGUGAGAAUCCCGUAUUUGACCUUUACUUUCAACUUUGUGAUACACUUUCAAAGAGUCGGAUUGUUUGGGAAUGCAGUCCAAAAUGGGUGGUAAAUUUCAUCUAAAGCUAAAUAUUGGCGAGAGACCGAUAGCGAACAAGUACCGUGAGGGAAAGAUGAAAAGAACUUUGAAAAGAGAGUUAAACAGUACGUGAAAUUGUCAAAAGGGAAGCGUUUGACACCAGUGUUGUUUUUCUGAAAAUCAAUUAAAGAACUGUUUAUGCUAAGUUGUUUAGACUUUAUCAGCUAUCUGCUUAGUUUUGAGCUUUUCUUUAAUGCACUUUUCAGUUAACAAGUCAACAUCAAUUUCUUUUGCUGUAAAAAAGCUUGAGGAAGGUGGCUUGAGAUUCGUCUUAAGUGUUUAUAGCCUCUUGCCUAUGCAGUCGGAGAGAUUGAGGUCUGCAGCGUAGAUCCUUCGGGGCUAAAUGCAUUUGUGCUAAGUUAUAGCAUUUUAUAGACAACUUGUUGACUAUGAUUUGUCUUGUAGCUUACUCGCUUAUGUUAUUUUACCUACGCUUAGGAUGUUGAUCUGUAGUGCGUGCGC
rnacentral:rRNA from 1 species